CACGGGGGGAGCAAGCGUUGUUCGGAUUCAUUGGGCGUAAAGGGCUCGUAGGUGGCUUUGUAAGUCGGAGGUGAAAGACCACGGCUCAACCGUGGAAACGCCUUCGAAACUGUGAAGCUUGAGGCUGGGAGAGGAAAUCGGAAUUCCUGGUGUAGCGGUGAAAUGCGUAGAUAUCAGGAGGAACACCUGUGGCGAAAGCGGCUCACUGGACCACAACUGACGCUGAGGCGCGAAAGCUAGGGGAGCAAACAGG
rnacentral:rRNA from 1 species